rnacentral:misc_RNA from 1 species
GAUGAAGAACGUAGCGAAAUGCGAUAAGUAAUGUGAAUUGCAGAAUUCAGUGAAUCAUCGAAUCUUUGAACGCACAUUGCGCCCCCUGGUAUUCCGGGGGGCAUGCCUGUUCGAGCGUCAUUUCACCACUCAAGACUCGCUUGGUAUUGGGCAACGCGGUCCGCCGCGUGCCUCAAAUCGACCGGCUGGGUCUUCUGUCCCCUAAGCGUUGUGGAAACUAUUCGCUAAAGGGUGUUCGGGAGGCUACGCCGUAAAACAACCCCAUUUCUAAGGUUGACCUCGGAUCAGGUAGGGAUACCCGCUGAACUUAAGCAUAUCAAUAAGCGGAGGA